rnacentral:misc_RNA from 1 species
ACUUGAAGCGCCAGCUAUUUGGUAAUUUGUUUCUUGCAUCUAUUUCCUUUUCUUGUUUGUUUUCCCUUAUUCUGUAUAUAAAUUUUGGUUUGAUAUGGGAAAGCCUAUUAUUGUGUAAUUGAUAUGUUGUAAAUUUUGACCAUGAGAGUGUUUCAUAUGGUUCUUGUUUUGCUUUGGAUCUGUAGUGGUAAUUGAUAUGAUGAUUGUGUGUUCAUGUGUUAAGCUUUGUGAAACAACUUUGGUGACAAUAGUAGAUAUAGAUGAUUUAUAGGAUUUUGUUUCCUUUGUUAACAAUGUUGGAUAUAUCAUAAAUGAGAUUGAUGUAUUGAUUGUAACACUCAAUGGAUAGGUUUACCACCAAGAUAUAGAGAU